rnacentral:rRNA from 1 species
GACGAACGCUGGCGGCGUGCCUAAUACAUGCAAGUAGAACGCUGAAGGAGGAGCUUGCUUCUCUGGAUGAGUUUCGAACGGGUGAGUAACGCGUAGAUAACCUGCCUGGUAGCGGGGGAUAACUAUUGGAAACGAUAGCUAAUACCGCAUAAGAGUAGAUGUUGCAUGACAUUUACUUAAAAGGUGCAAUUGCAUCACUACCAGAUGGACCUGCGUUGUAUUAGCUAGUUGGUGAGGUAACGGCUCACCAAGGCAACGAUACAUAGCCGACCUGAGUGGGUGAUCGGCCAGACUGGGACUGUGACACGGCCCAGACUGCUUCUGGAUGCAGCAGUAGGGAUUCCUCGGCAAUGGACGGAAGUCUGACCGAGCAACGCCGCGUGAGUGGAGAAGGUUUUCGGAUCGUAAAGCUCUGUUGUAAGAGAAGAACGAGUGUGAGAGUGGAAAGUUCACACUGUGGCGGUAUCUUACCAGAAAGGGACGGCUAACUACGUG